rnacentral:rRNA from 1 species
GAUGAACGCUAGCGGGAGGCCUAAUACAUGCAAGUCGAGCGGUAGAGUGACUUCGGUUGCUUGAGAGCGGCGCACGGGUGAGUAACGCGUACAUGACCUACCUUUAAGACAGGGAUAGCCCUGGGAAACUGGGAUUAAUACCGGAUGUGAUAAUACGUAUAGAGAUGUAUUAUUAAAGUUGAGGCGCUUAGAGAUGGAUGUGCGUCUGAUUAGCUAGUUGGUAGGGUAACGGCUACCAAGGCUACGAUGUCUAGCUGGUCUGAGAGGAUGAUCAGCCACACUGGGACUGAGACACGGCCCAGACUCCUACGGGAGGCAGCAGUAGGGAAUAUUGGACAAUGGGGGGAACCCUGAUCCAGCCAUGCCGCGUGAGGGAAGAAGGUCCUCUGGAUUGUAAACCUCUUUUGGCAGGAAACAAACCUGCGCUAUACGCGCAGCUGAGGGUACCUGCAGAAUAAGCACCGGCUAACUCCGUGCCAG